ensembl:lncRNA
CCUACUCGAGCCAAGUCCCAGCCAAUGAGGGAUGAGUUCCCUCAUGAAUAUUCACGAGCUUUUCGCCGAAGUACGCUGACGCGCGUCAAAUGACCCGCAUGUUCAUUUUCACUCAUUCAGAUUCAUCAACUCCGAUUGAACGGCGCUCACCAAGUAUUUCUCCGACGAAAACUUUGUUAAACCCGAAUGAACUAGCAUUUUUUCAAUUCAUUGAUCACUUUUAUAGCCAUGGUUUCGCCUAGGGAUCAGAUCUUGUUCAUCAUAUUUCUACUGCUGCUGAACUCGGUCUUGGGGAAACCGGAGGGUGAGUAAUAUUUUAUUGCAAUAUUAAUAAUAAUUCGAUCUCGCUAAUGACGCUCAUAUUUUGGGAUGGGAUUAGCCUUUACUGUGGAGCACACUGCCUGCGUCUGCCUUGUAAAGGCUUUAAUCCGUCAUUGGGACGAGUGAGAUAGCGAGGAAACAACCGGUGAAGUGUGUGUUUGUAUGCGCGCGUGCGUGUGUGUUUGUGUGCGCGCGUGCGUGUGUGUGUGUUGCAAGGUUUUGAAUAAUAUACUUGGUUCUCAUUUGGUUGGUUUUAUAUUAUUUAAAGUUACCUUAAGUAAAUACUAUUUGGAGAAGGUAACUGCAAAUCGGUCUUAUUUUUCCUUGUCUAGAGGUCUACAUGAGUAAAAGUUGGCUCAUCUUACCCCACUCUGCCCUAUACAGCUAGAAGGAGAUAUCUUACCACCAGGUGUGAGUGUGAUUAGCCGUUACAAGACAUUCUGAAAAUCUGCCUCUUCUGACUUCACAAAUAUGCGUGUCCACCUAGAAUGUAUGCUGGAUAGAUCAGUCUAUCAGCUAGAGCUGUAGCGACGCGUCGGUGACGUCGACGUCUAAAAUGUUUCGACGUCAAAUUUCUCCGUCGACGAUUUUCGCCACACGAGAAAAAAAUAUUGCAAAAUGUACGAAAGUCACAAUAAAGGAAAUGUCCGCGACCGAAAUUAUCAAUGGUAUGGAAAUACUUCAAGUUAAGUCCUAAACGGAAAGGUGUUGUGAUUUGCACUCCUUGCCAAAUGGAGAUGGCAUAUCAAAAGAGCACGACAGCAAUGUUGGAGCAUCUGAAACGGAGGCACCCAGUUGUCACUCGUGACGGAGACAAUUGCAAAAUAUGCAGUUGGGAGCAAUGUGACUCUUCGAACCAGGUAUGGAGGCAACGACCUAACCAGUGUUGACUGGAACCACGGUGAAAACAAUGUUGUGAAGUGGUUCGAGAACACUUUUAUGGCCUACAGCAACUUUAAAGGUAAGUUGAGAGAUCUUACCGGUCCAAAUGAUGUAGCAGACAUGUCCCAUGUCGUUAAUCGUUAAUUAUAACUAAUAUUUUUGUAGGUCGCACACAUCUGAACUACAACAACGGAGAUCUGACCCUCAUCGGUGUGACUGAGUCAGAGAGUGGGAAAUACACCGUAUACCUCAACGGCAAACACCGCUACACUAAGCAGCUCUUUAUCGAAGUCAUCCGUAAGUAUGGGCCAUGCGGGUAUAGCAUUGGAUGACUAUUUCUAUAGUACAAUUUAGCAGUUUCCUCCUAGCUGAGUGUAGAGGUGUCCCUGAGCAAGGCACCUCUCCCUAAAGGAAGGUUGCUGGCUCGAUCCCCGGCUCCUAGCUGAUUGUUAAGGUGACCCUGAGCAGGGCACCUCACUCUGACUGCUCCCCAAAGGAAGGUUGCUGGUUCGAUCCCCGGCUCCUCCUAGCUGAGUGUAACGGUGUCCCUGAGCAAGGCAUCUCACCCUAACUGCCACCUAAGGGAAGAAAUGCUAGUUCAAUCACCGGCUCCUCUUAGCUGACGGCUGAGUCGACCCCUCAGGGCGACAGCCAACUUGUAAGGAGCAGUCGGGGUGAGACGCCUCGCUCAGGGACACCUCGACACCCAGCUAGGAGGAGCCGGGGAUCCAACUAGCAGACUUCGGGUUACCAGCCAACCCGCCUCUACCUCCUGAUCGACUGCCGCCCUGUGACUAACGACUAACUGCGAACGUGUCUCUGUGUACAGAGCGCGUGCCUGUCCCCACGGUGAACAAGGCCACGGUCCCCCCCAGCACGGCCCCCCCCACCACGGCCCCCCCCAGCCCUGCGGAGCGCAACCGUUGUAUGUACACUUUCCUCCUCCUUCACCCUAAUGCGAGCACUGCUGUUUUAGCUUGUUUAGCUUUAUAACCUGCACUGCAUUUUCGGGGUGGCAUGUCGCUCAGGAGGUAGAGCGGGUUGGCUGGUAACCUGAAGGUUGCUAGUUCGAUCCCCGGCUCCUCCUAGCUGAGUGUCGAGGUGUCCCUGAGCGAGACGCCUCAACCUGACUGCUCCUGACGACGGAGUCGCCCUGAGGGGUCGACUCCGCCGCGUGCGCGUGUCAGUAUUGUCAAGCGCUUUGAGUGGCCACUGGUUAGAACAGAACUGUAUAAAUGAGGACCAUUUAGCAUUUUAGAAACGUGCUUCGCAUGCAA